UACGGGGGGGGCAAGCGUUGUUCGGAAUUACUGGGCGUAAAGGGCUCGUAGGCGGCCAACUAAGUCCGACGUGAAAUCCCCAGGCUUAACCUGGGAACUGCGUCGGAUACUGGAUGGCUUGAAUUCGGGAGAGGGAUGCAGAAUUCCAGGUGUAGCGGUGAAAUGCGUAGAUAUCGGAAGGAACACCAGUGGCGAAAGCGGCUUCCUGGUCCGACACCGACGUCAGGCACGAAAGCGUGGGGAGCAAACAGG
rnacentral:rRNA from 1 species